GUUCGUCUCUGGGCCCCUUCCGGCCGCGGCCUUCGAUCCCGGAGUUGGCCCUUGGGCUCGAAACCGGGGACCGGGCUGGCACACCUGCCCAGGUGCGUUCCCGGCGCCGGGAGCCCGCCGCGAGGUGCCGCUGUCCUCCCAGCCGUCACGCCCUCGGGAUUGGUCUCACCCGCCCGACCGAGAGCACCACUCACCCUGCACAGCCACGAGAAUCCGAGCACCUCUGAGACCCCUCGCUGCCUUGGCUGCCGCUACCACCACCCUUCCACCCUGAGCCUCUAAAAACUAACACUUCCGGCCUCCCUUUAGCAAACCGGAAGGAAGCCCCGUCACCAUUCUCGGCCAACAAAGUGGUCCUGACUUAAUGGGAAGGCGACAGGGAGGGACGUUGCCACUGUGAUCUGCGGACUCAAUAUUGACCUAGUGCACGGGAAGGAAGUGUAAAGCGGCCCACUUAGAACAAAGAGGAAUUUUUAAUGGUUCUUUGGGUCCUGAGUUUCCAUCUUUUUUGUAACUAUUCUUGCAACGUAAGGCUUCCUCCCCCCCCUUUCCUGUGCGCAGAUGGUUGCGUCCGUCCUAUGGCUUAGCCCCUCCGCACAUUCCAGGGCGCGGCGAGGGGCGGGGCCAGUUAGCCCAAGUCCUUGUAGGGAAAUCGCCGAGACGACUGCGGGGCCCACGUGGCUCGUGCUCGCCCCGCCCCCGAACGUCGGGCUUCUGGCGCCCGGAGGUAGUGCCCCUGCGCAGGGGCUGGGACUCCGCAUGAAGGUCCGGAGCGGAGCGUGCCAGGGAGGUGACCUUUGCGCCAGGGAUUUGAGUGUGCGGUGUUGUUUUGUGAAGAGGCUCACUCCUUCCACACCGGAGGAAACAUUGUGAAGUCCCGAGGGCCCUCGGCCAAGUGCCCGCUGUCUUUUUGCCUCAGACAUAUUUCACAAAGUCACGAGUGGCUGGAGCCUUCCUCCCUCUCAGAAGCGUGUCCUGUUAGUUUUCCUCCCAGAACCCCUUUGGUCCUAACUAGAGGAGUCUGGUUUGGAUCCGACUAGGAAGGGAGACAGGCGACUCUUGCCCCCAUCUUCACUAUCAUGAUGACUCACGGCUUGGUGAAAACAGGAAUAAAAAGUUGGGCCUGUUUUUUUCCUCGGCUCUCCUCGCCUAGGACAGCUUCUAGCAGUGUCUCUCGUUUAAGGAUGAGAAACCCCUCCCCGAUUCUACAUUUUCCGUCCAGUCUUGUGAGGAAGACCGUGGUGGUUGUCACCUCAGCUCCCUGACCUCAUCUACGAGAGGUGAGAGUGGGAUCCGGUAACCCUCCGAUCAUCAUCCCAGCACUAAGUCUAGUGACUGGUUUGGUUCACGUGGCCAGAACAUUUCUGAGUUUGGAGUUACCCGAUGGUCUUCCCCUUAAACUUCGGCUCUCGGUUGAACCAUUCUCCUAAAAAAAGAAGGGAAAGAGAUGCUCUAGUCUCUUGCAGACUUUCCAGCAAGGCUUAAUUCCACUAAAAUCUACCUUGGGAAAAUACAAGUAUCUACUUUGUCAGCACCUAGUGCUGAUUCAGUAAAGCAUCAAAGCACUGGUCUGCCAAUGCUACUCAGUAACCCCUGAAAGGCCAAAGAGUCAGAGACUACCUUUCAGAGAUGUUUGUAUAGAGCACAGCCUUGAAGAAAGACAAAGUGCCUCCCUCCAGAACACAAGAUAUGAAGCAACUUACCAUUUUCUCUAGAGAAACAGCUCACUGGGAACCAUCCAGUGGCUGGUGAAUUAAUCUUGAGAAGAAUCACUGCGUUCUGUAUUGGAUGUUGUAUUAGUCCAUUUUCUGUUGCCGAUAACAGAAUACCUGAAAC